rnacentral:rRNA from 1 species
ACGCUCGACACCUACGGAAGGCAGCAGUGGGGAAUAUUGCACAAUGGGGGAAACCCUGAUGCAGCGACGCCGCGUGAGCGAAGAAGUAUUUCGGUAUGUAAAGCUCUAUCAGCAGGGAAGAAACUGACGGUACCUGACUAAGAAGCACCGGCUAAAUACGUGCCAGCAGCUGCGGUAAUCUGAGCGGGCUGGCAAGGC